UACGGGGGGGGCAAGCGUUGUUCGGAAUUACUGGGCGUAAAGGGCUCGUAGGUGGCCAACUAAGUCAGACGUGAAAUCCCUCAGCUUAACUGGGGAACUGCGUCUGAUACUGGAUGGCUUGAGUUUGGGAGAGGGAUGCGGAAUUCCAGGUGUAGCGGUGAAAUGCGUAGAUAUCUGGAAGAACACCGAUGGCGAAGGCAACCUCCUGGGCCUGUUCUGACGCUGAGGCACGAAAGCGUGGGGAGCAAACAGG
rnacentral:rRNA from 1 species